CCCUUCCUUAAAAAAAAUCGCAGAUUUAGAUCUGGAUGGGAAAUUCUGGGGCCAUCUUGUCCAGCUCGGAGUGAGUCCCAGACAAGUAAAGUGCCUUGGCCAAGUCUGUGGCUGUUAAGUGGCAGAGGCUUCCGUACUUGGGGCCAGACUGCAAAGAUAACUGUCACGUGUGUCAAACAUGCUGAAAUCAUAAGCACCCACCUUAUACAAACUGGUUUAAACAGUUUCCCCACAUUCUUUCAAAGCGUUCGGUGAAUUAAACAUAUGUGGGUAUAUUAAUAUGAUGCGGUCGAAACAACUAAUCUUAAAAUAUCUAUUAAUUCAUCUGUGCCAUCUUCAUUUUUCUUUCGAUUCCAAAUUCUUAGCAAUGACUGGUACCACAAAUUUGUAGUCAUAACAAUAUAAAGCAUUUCUUAUGUCAGCUUGGAAAAAUGAAUUCCUUAUUCCAAACAAUAUCUGCAGUCCAUUUAUUAUAAAUUAUUGGCCUCCAAGUGUUUUGUUUUUGUCUUAGAAUAGAGCCGUAAAAUGCUGAAAGCAUAGGGGGAAUUGGUGAUGGAGGUCAGGGGCCAGAGUUGGCAAAUCUGGGAAGGAAAAGAAAGGAGGGGCAAGGGAAAAAUGGAAAAAAUGUUAGGUAAAAAAAUGAGGAUUUUGGAAGGUUAAAAAUAAGGAAACUGUGUUUCCUCUUCCACAUUUUCAAUUUUUCCCUUUCCAUCACAUCUUUCCUAAGCAUUACAAUUUCAUAAGCCAACUAACGUAUUCAUAAUUCAUUUUAUGUUUCUAACAUUGUGACUUUAGAUCUUCAAAGCUUUAUUUAAAAAUUAUUACAUCUAUUUAGUUAUUCAUUCCUAUUUCUAAUUCCCUCUGCCUAUUCUUUAUUAUACUGCAUGGCUUAAGAUUUACAAGAACAUUUAUAUGACUAAUCUAUCGUAUCAUUAGGAUUUAGAGGAAUGGGAAAGAGUUUUUGAUCCAAAAAUAUUUUAAAUGAUGACUCCAAUUCUUAUUAGAGACUAUUAAAAUAUCAAAAUGGUAUUUGUUGGAUUUUGCUUGGCAAUAAUCUAUAAAUGGGCAAUAUUUUUUCUAGUGUACACUGUCCCUAAUGAGGGAAGUUAAAUAACAACAUAAAAUAUAAAAAUAUAUUAGCCACGAUGAUGUAAGGAUGAGAGAUUUAAUAAGAAUGUGAGGGAAGAUUGGUCAAAAGAAGCCAUAGAUUAAUGAGAAAUAUAAGUAGAUGGAAAUGAUAGUAAUAAUGAUUAGA
rnacentral:lncRNA from 1 species